AUGGCCCUUGUUCCUGCCAGGAGGCGGCGUACUCGUACGAUGGCCGCGGUUCUCCUGAACCGCACAUGGAUCACGGACAUCCAAGGAUCGUUAGGGCCGGCCGCCGUCCUCGAGUAUGUGGACAUCUGGCGGAGUCUACAACACGUCGCACUCUCCUCGCAGCCAGACGCGACCCGUUGGCGCUGGACUGCCAACGGCAUCUACUCGGCUUCAUCCUGCUAUGUUGCCUUGUUUGAGGGUCCAUGGCCUCCGAACACUGGCGUAUCGUGUGGAAGUCGGGUGCAACUUUGUCAGUGA
rnacentral:rRNA from 1 species